AGCCGCCCAAAGCAAUUCCCACAAUUGCUUAAAAGAUCAUCGUCAAAUUCCGCCAUCAUCUCCACCACCGCGGAUCAUCUCGUGAAUUGCAACAGGUUCUGGUUUCCUACCUUACUGCUGCUGCAAUUUAGUUAUCCCUAUCCGAAAAUCCAAAAAAAAAAAAAUUGUUCCUAUAUUGCUGCAUAAACUUUUCGUCACAAAG
rnacentral:lncRNA from 1 species